rnacentral:rRNA from 1 species
GACGAACGCUGGCGGCGUGCUUAACACAUGCAAGUCGUACGGUAAGGCCCUUUCGGGGGUACACGAGUGGCGAACGGGUGAGUAACACGUGCGUAACCUGCCCACAACUUUGGGAUAACGCUAGGAAACUGGUGCUAAUACUGGAUAUGUGCUCCUGCUGCAUGGUGGGGGUUGGAAAGCUCCGGCGGUUGUGGAUGGACUCGCGGCCUAUCAGCUUGUUGGUGGGGUAGUGGCCUACCAAGGCGGCGACGGGUAGCCGGCCUGAGAGGGUGACCGGCCACAUUGGGACUGAGAUACGGCCCGGACUCCUACGGGAGGCAGCAGUGGGGAAUAUUGCACAAUGGGCGCAAGCCGGAUGCAGCAACGCCGCGUGCGGGAUGACGGCCUUCGGGUUGUAAACCGCUUUCAGCAGGGACGAAGCUUUUUGUGACGGUACCUGCAGAAGAAGCACCGGCUAACUCCGU